rnacentral:rRNA from 1 species
GACGAACGCUGGCGGCGUGCUUAACACAUGCAAGUCGAACGAGUGGCGAACGGGUGAGUAACACGUGGGUGAUCUGCCUUGCACUUCGGGAUAAGCUUGGGAAACUGGGUCUAAUACCGGAUAGUGCAAGAUGAGCUCGCGGCUUAUCAGCUUGUUGGUGGGGUAAUGGCUACCAAGGCGCGAAGGGUAGCCGGCCUGAGAGGGGGUACGGCGACAAGGGGACUGAGAUACGGACCAGACGGCUAAGUGAGGCAGCAGGGGGGAGUAUUGCACAACGGGCGGAAGCGUGAGGAAGCGACGCUGCGUGUGGGAUGAAGGCCUUCGGGUUGUAAACUCCUUGCGACAGGGAAGCGUUACCUGUAUAAGAAGCACCGGCUAACUACGUGCCAGCAGCCGCGGUAAUAC